rnacentral:rRNA from 1 species
AUUGAACGCUGGCGGCAGGCCUAACACAUGCAAGUCGAACGAGUGGCGGACGGGUGAGUAAUGUCUGGGAAACUGCCUGAUGGAGGGGGAUAACUACUGGAAACGGUAGCUAAUACCGCAUACCAUCAGAUGUGCCCAGAUGGGAUUAGCUAGUUGGUGGGGUAACGGCUCACCAAGGCGACGAUCCCUAGCUGGUCUGAGAGGAUGACCGGCCACAUUGGAACGGGGACACGGUCCAGACUCCUACGGGGGGCGGCAGUGGGGAAUAUUGCACAAGGGGCGCAAGCCUGAUACAGCCAGGCCGCUUGUAUGAAGAGGGCCUUCGGGUUGUAACGUACUUUCAGCGGGGAGGCGUUACCCGCAGAAGAAGCCCCGGCUAACUCCGUGCCAGCAGCCGCGGUAAUUC